UACGUAGGUGGCAAGCGUUGUCCGGAAUUAUUGGGCGUAAAGCGCGCGCAGGCGGGUUUUUAAGUCUGUCUUAAAAGUUCGGGGCUUAACCCCGUGAGGGGAUGGAAACUGGAAACCUAGAGUAUCGGAGAGGAAAGCGGAAUUCCUAGUGUAGCGGUGAAAUGCGUAGAUAUUGGGAAGAACACCGGUGGCGAAGGCGACUUGCUGGGCAGCAACUGACGCUGAGGCGCGAAAGCCAGGGGAGCAAACGGG
rnacentral:rRNA from 1 species